UUACUACUCCCUCCGUGCCAUAUUAAGUGACUUUCUAUUAAAUGUAUCUAGACGCUUUUUAAACAUAUAUACAUCCAUAUUUGGCAAUUUUGAGUCACUUAAUAUGGGACGGAGGGAGUACGAA
rfam:Brachypodium distachyon strain Bd21 chromosome 2, whole genome shotgun sequence.